GAUGAACGCUGGCGGCGUGCCUAAUACAUGCAAGUCGAGCGAACAGACGAGGAGCUUGCUCCUCUGACGUUAGCGGCGGACGGGUGAGUAACACGUGGAUAACCUACCUAUAAGACUGGGAUAACUUCGGGAAACCGGAGCUAAUACCGGAAAAUAUAUUGAACCGCAUGGUUCAAUAGUUAAAGACGGUUUUGCUGUCACUUAUAGAUGGAUCCGCGCCGCAUUAGCUAGUUGGUAAGGUAACGGCUUACCAAGGCAACGAUGCGUAGCCGACCUGAGAGGGUGAUCGGCCACACUGGAACUGAGACACGGUCCAGACUCCUACGGGAGGCAGCAGUAGGGAAUAUUGCGCAAUGGGCGAAAGCUUGACGGAGCAACGCCGCGUGAGUGAUGAAGGUCUUCGGAUCGUAAAACUCUGUUAUUAGGGAAGAACAAAUGUGUAAGUAACUAUGCACGUAUUGACGGUACCUAAUCAGAAAGCCACGGCUAACUACGUG
rnacentral:rRNA from 1 species